rfam:Sorghum bicolor cultivar BTx623 chromosome 10, whole genome shotgun sequence.
GUAGUCGGAUUCACAUCAAUCCACAUGUAUUGGAGUGGGUUGUAGUGGAACUUGAACUAAAUUUCACUCCAAUCCACGCCAACACAUGUGGAUUGAGGUGAAUCCGACA